rnacentral:rRNA from 1 species
UACGAAGGGUGCAAGCGUUACUCGGAAUUACUGGGCGUAAAGCGUGCGCAGGCGGUUAUGUAAGACAGUUGUGAAAGCCCCGGGCUUAACCUGGGAAUGGCCGUUGAAACUGGCGAACUGGAGUGUGGCAGAGGGGGGUGGAAUUCCGCGUGUAGCAGUGAAAUGCGUAGAGAAUGCGGAGGAACACCGAUGGCGAAGGCAGCCCCCUGGGCUAACACUGACGCCUCAGGCACGAAAGCGUGGGGAGCAAACGGGA